AUUGAACGCUGGCGGCAGGCCUAACACAUGCAAGUCGAGCGGAUGAAGGGAGCUUGCUCCUGGAUUCAGCGGCGGACGGGUGUGUAAUGCCUAGGAAUCUGCCUGCCAUUGGGGGAUAACGUCCGGAAACGGCCGCUAAUACCACAUACGUCCUGAUGCAGAAAGUGGGGGAUCUUCGGACCUCAUGCUAUCAGAUGAGCCUAGGUCGGAUUAGCUAGUUGGUUGGGUAAAGGCCUACCAAGGCGACGAUCCGCAACUGGACUGCGGGGAUGGUCAGUCACCAGGGAAGGUGACCAGCGUCCAGGGGACUAAGGGAGGGCCCAGAGGGGAACGUUGGGCAAUGGGGGGAAGUCUGGCACAACGAUGCCGAGUGUGUGAAGAAGGUCUUCGGAUUGUAAAGAACGUUAAGUUGGGAGGAAGGGCAGUAAGUUGAUACGUUGCUGUUUUGACGGUACCAAGAGAAUAAGCACCGGCUAACUUCGUG
rnacentral:rRNA from 1 species